ensembl:snRNA U6 U6 spliceosomal RNA
GUGCUCGCUUGGGCAGCACAUACACUAAAAUUGGAACGAUACAGAGAAGAUUAGCAUGGCCCCUGCGCAAAAGGAUGACACGCAAAUUCCAUAUUAAGAAAAAAAGAAA